rnacentral:rRNA from 1 species
UACAGAGGUCUCAAGCGUUGUUCGGAUUCAUUGGGCGUAAAGGGCGCGUAGGCUGCGGGGCAAGUCGGGUGUGAAAUCUCAGAGCUCAACUCUGAAACUGCACUCGAUACUGCUUUGCUUGAGGACUGGAGAGGAGAUUGGAAUUCACGGUGUAGCAGUGAAAUGCGUAGAUAUCGUGAGGAAGACCAGUGGCGAAAGGCGGAU